rnacentral:rRNA from 1 species
AUAAAGAAUAAUUAGUGGCAGACGGGUGAGUAAUGCAUAGGAAUCUACCUAGUAGUAUGGGAUAGCCACUAGAAAUGGUGGGUAAUACUGUAUAAUCCCUGCGGGGGAAAGAUUUAUCGCUAUUAGAUGAGCCUAUGUUAGAUUAGCUAGUUGGUAGGGUAAAGGCCUACCAAGGCGAUGAUCUAUAGCUGGUCUGAGAGGAUGAUCAGCCACACUGGAACUGAGAUACGGUCCAGACUCCUACGGGAGGCAGCAGUGGGGAAUAUUGGACAAUGGGCGCAAGCCUGAUCCAGCUAUGCCGCGUGAGUGAGGAAGGCCUUAGGGUUGUAAAACUCUUUCAGUAGGGAAGAUAAUGACGGUACCUACAGAAGAAGUCCCGGCAAACUCCGUGCCAGCAGCCGCGGUAAUACGGAGGGGGCAAGCGUUGUUCGGAAUUAUUGGGCGUAAAGGGCAUGUAGGCGGUUCGGUAAGUUAAAGGUGAAAUGCCA